ACAGGGACUCUUGUGUGUUUCCAGGACAAUUAUGUUCUCCACGUAGCAACCAAGGCCUUGUCCAGAUCAGUUUUUGGCCUCUCAACCAAUUUUCUGUUUGCAUCAUAAAUACCUAGGCGGAAGCUUCCCAGGGAAUUAUAGUCUGGUGUCUUUAUAAAAAGCUGAAGGAACUGCCCGGACAGGAAGAGAUCAUUUCAGCCCAUUGAGUGAUUCCAUCUCAGGAGAACAUGGCGGCCAGCCAUAAUAGCAUGCUUUCUCUACCUUCUCUCACCAACUGAGAUCACAAAAGCAACUGUGGGACUUACAGAAAACAAUCUUGAUACUCAUUUGGGGACUGAUCUAUCUGAUAAUGGAGCGGCGCACCAGAAGAAUACAUAUAUUAUAUUCAUUUCUUCAAAUACAAAAAUUUUACAUUCCUCAAGUCCUCCACAUCACUUAUCCUUAAAGAGGGUUCUGAUGAAGCUGGACUCCAACCGUACACAGACAGAUGCUCCUCCUUGAAGGUGAAGCAGAAAAUCACUGGCCCCUUCUCAACUCUGAACUUCCCUCUCCAGGGGAUCCAGAGGUUUCCAUGCAUCUGCCGUAUGCCCCCCCCCCACCCAAUCCGCCUUCUAUUCAAAAGAACAACAACGGGGUAUUGAGUUUUUGUGAAUAUAAAUAAAACAUUAUGUAAUGAUGAAUCAACAAUAGUAAUAAGGUCUAUAACAAAAUUAAACAGCAGCAGCUGCAGCAUGGAACAGAUGGUGAGAAGCCAUGCCUAGAAAUCAGAAACAGCCUUUGUGCUGAAUAAGGAAACAGAGGCACACUGGACACUCCUGGAGAAACCCCUGUGGACCUCUGCGGUUUGGCCAGCAGGAGGUCUGACCCCUGAACAACAAACACACAAUCAAAGCGAGACAGUGGUGUGAGAAUUUGUUUGGAUCAAUUUUUCUUUCCAGCCUUGGACAGCUAUACGGGGUGACAUCUUCACAGAACCAAGCUCCUUGCAGAUUCUAGCACAUUCUGUUUCUCCAGCCACUGCCUGAGCAGUGCACAGAGCAUUUAUCCUGCACAUCUACAGGCCUUCGCUGAAUGUUCUGGAGUCAGUGUCGAUGUUCAUGUACCAAGGGCAACACCACCGAGCAAAAUGUCUGCAAGGUGAUUCCUCAGUCAAGGUUAAGGAGAUCAGGAGGUCAUGGCAACUUCAAGUCUUACCCACCCAUGGGCCUAAGCUAAUAACUGUUUUGAUUUUCCCUUCUGACAUUUAUGAGUGAAAUUUGCAGAUAAGAUCAAUCAGGCCAACAAGGGCUGAAGAGGAAAGUUCUCUCUCAUUCCUCAUAAACCACCUGCUUUUAAGACUUUCCUACAGACAAUAAAUUGUGACCAGCAUAAACACAGUUGCAAAGGGUACUACUUUUUCACUUUACUUAGAUUUUUAA